CCUGCAAAUCAAAGGUCAGCUGGGGAAAUCAUUAAAGAAGAAAUCUAAAAGAAGCUUCCAAUGCUUCGGACCACCCUAAAAGAGAAAGGAAGAAAAUGUUCGGGGAAGGCGAGGGUUCCGGGAAGCUGAGGAAGGGGCGGGCGCCCUCGGCACCCGGGCUUCUCCGGGCGCUGCCCUAAGGGAAGAGGGUGGGCCUGAGGUCCUGAUCCAGCCUUUCCAAGCCCCCACUUCAAAUGCCGGGAGGGAAAAGUUCAGAAGGAGCCACAAGGGGACAAAAGCCUAAUUUUGCCAGUUCAACAAGACAGGACAUUCAAUUAACCCAGCCAACUCUGGAAACGGGUCGAGGCGCCUGUUGGCUCCACAGAGCCUGAAGCAGCCCCUGCCGCCGCCCUCGCCACCGCCGCCGCCGCCGCCGCCGCCGCCGCCACGGCCCCUGCGUUACUGGGGGAGACGGUGCCGCUGCGACAGGGGAGGACGCGGCUGGAGCUCAAGGAGGCUCCAGCGCGCAGGCGCCGCCGAGCCCUGCCUGGAUGCUCAGUCAAGGCACUAAGGCAAAAAAAAAAAAAAAAAAAUCAGCAAUUUAUAGAAAGAAGAAGCUAUAGUCUGUCGGGAUAUCCAACACCAACAGUAGGGCUUAUUGAGAGCUUCAUUUCUGGAAAGCGUUGCAAGACUGAGGAAUAUCAGACUGCGAAUCACCGGGAACAGUUCCCUUGCAGCACAGAAGCAAUCUCUCUCCCCAUCUUCGCAUAUUCCGAUGGCAAAUCAACUGGAAGAAAAGAGGAAGCAUGACUGCAGAUCGGAUCAGUUCUCUUUGUGGAUUACAUUUCCAGUAAAAUGGAGCUGAGGCGCUGUUUCAGCACAACCCUUCUUUACUGCAGAAAAUCCAGGUUACCAAGGGAACCUUACUGUGUUAUAUGAAGGAGCAUCUGUAAAUCUUUAGCCUUGUGAAACACUAACCUUCUCUGCUAAGCGAUUGUGGCCUGUAGCCAUAUCUUGAGAAGAAAAUCAAGAAUGGGAUCAGAGGUUAUAAGGAUUUGGGCAACAUUCUGCAGUCUUUGCAAUAGUUCACCUAUAAUCCUAUUUUAAAUCUCAGAGUGAUCCUGCUGAUGGCCGGCGAAG
rnacentral:lncRNA from 1 species